rnacentral:tRNA from 1 species
CAAAAUGUAGCUUAAAUUAAAGCAUUUCGCUUACACCGAAAAAAUGUUUGUUUAAUCCAAACUAUUUUGA